ACGACUCUCGGCAACGGAUAUCUCGGCUCUCGCAUCGAUGAAGAACGCAGCGAAAUGCGAUACUUGGUGUGAAUUGCAGAAUCCCGUGAACCAUCGAGUUUUUGAACGCAAGUUGCGCCCAAAGCCUUUCCGGCUGAGGGCACGUCUGCCUGGGUGUCACGCAACAU
rnacentral:rRNA from 1 species